AAACCAGCCCAUUGAAAAUAUCCUGCCAAGUCAUUCGGGGAUUUGUGGCAGAAACUCCAGUCUUGUGUCUGGACAUGGACCAUUUCUGGGGAAAACUGAGACCUUUGCUAAAAGGAAGAGGGGAAAGCGGGGGCGCACAUAUCCAGUGAUAUUUUCUCAUCUGGUACUUUGUAGAAACCUUGCUCCCAGUAUGUACCUAAUUAAGGCUCCACAGCCCUACGAGGCCCCAAGAGAGAGUGGUUACAUCAGUGCAGUCCUCAGCAGAACCGAGGAAAGAGCUUCAUCGUCCAAAACUGAGGAAAUGCCCAGAUUAACACAGGUUUUCUUGGUGGGGAGAAGGGGAUAGAAUAUUCUGGCAGCUGGAAGACAUAUCCCUGGCUUCUUUCUUCCAGGCAAAAGGGUUUCUGUGUCUCCUGAAUACCUUCUUCUUCCCCCACGCCACGGUGGGUGUGACAAGAUCAGCUGGCUUCCAGAAGGCAAGGUGUUCAGUAAUGUUCAAAGAGAGAAGAUUAUCUCCAAGUUUCUAAAGAAAGUGUUCCGUUCACAACAAAUGAGGUGGUAGGGGUCUGACAACCAGAAAGGGACUUCAAGUUACACCUUUCCUGGCACCAGAAAGUAAGUUCUGACACUGAAACUUUAACCAAAAUUUAAAGUGAAUUUGUAAUAUAAGGCUAGGAAAACAGAGUUACAGAGCAUAGCCAUCUGAAAAAUAGAAAGGCUUAUGAAGCAAUUCAAAUUGCAGAAAUCAAGUCUUAAAUCAAAAUAAAGGAGAAAAUAUAUGAUUGAGAAUUUAUUCAAAAGCACUAGCUGCAACAUAUGCAGAUGUGAAAUUCAGUGAUUGAUGUGUUUAUUUUGCUUCCUUUUGGAAAUAUGUUAAUAUACAUCACUAUCACACGUUCCAGGAAUAAAUAGUUUUUAAACAAUAUUUCUUAACUAUUUGCAACAAAACAAUGGCCUCCCAAAUAGGACAUUGCUAUGGGAGCAGAGUGUUAAAGUUUAAUUUUUAAAACUUCAAAUUAGAAAUAUUUGCAUAUAUAUUUCUUAAAAAGGAAUUAUACAAACACAAGAAAGUAUAUUUAAGAUGAAUGCUCAUAGAAUAGUUCUAAAUCAG
rnacentral:lncRNA from 1 species